UAGGGAAUAUUGGGCAAUGGAGGCAACUCUGACCCAGCCAUGCCGCGUGCAGGAUGAAGGCGCUCAGCGUCGUAAACUGCUUUUAUCUGGGAAGAACUGUGAGGAUGCGUCCUUACUUGACGGUACCAGAGGAAUAAGCACCGGCUAACUCCGUGCCAGCAGCCGCGGUAAUACGGAGGGUGCAAGCGUUGUCCGGAUUUAUUGGGUUUAAAGGGUGCGCAGGUGGGUAUUUAAGUCUGGUUUGAAAGCAGGUGGCUCAACCAUCUGAUGUGGCUGGAAACUGGAUAUCUUGAAUGGGUUGGCGGUAGCCGGAAUGGGUCAUGUAGCGGUGAAAUGCAUAGAUAUGACCCGGAACACCGAUUGCGAAGGCAGGCUACUACGACUUGAUUGACACUGAGGCACGAGAGCAUGGGUAGCGAACAG
rnacentral:rRNA from 1 species